GACGAACGCUGGCGGUGUGCUUAACACAUGCAAGUCGAACGGUAAGGCCCUUUCGGGGGUACACGAGUGGCGAACGGGUGAGUAACACGUGAGUAACCUGCCCUCAUCUCUGGGAUAACAGUCGGAAACGGUUGCUAAUACUGGAUAUGAGCUUGCAAGGCAUCUUGUGGGUUGGAAAGAUUUUUUUGGUUGGGGAUGGACUCGCGGCCUAUCAGCUUGUUGGUGAGGUAGUGGCUCACCAAGGCUUCGACGGGUAGCCGGCCUGAGAGGGCGACCGGGCACAUUGGGACUGAGAUACGGCCCAAACUCCUACGGGAGGCAGCAGUGGGGAAUAUUGCACAAUGGACGGAAGUCUGAUGCAGCAACGCCGCGUGCGGGAUGACGGCCUUCGGGUUGUAAACCGCUUUCAAUUGUGACGAAGCUUUUUGUGACGGUAGCAGUAGAAGAAGCACCGGCUAACUACGUG
rnacentral:rRNA from 1 species